rnacentral:tRNA from 1 species
UGGCGUGUAACUCAAUUGGUGAGGGCAGUUGAUUUUUUAAUAAAGUACAUGCAGAUUCGAUUCCUGUCACGCCAG